GUUUAGACAAGGCAUGUGAAUUGAGCAAGUCGCUUGAAUCUAACGCGAACUGAACGUGUAAACACCUUAAUUCAAUUCACUUGAACGAAAAGAAAGUUGAACAUGUUCAACUUUUGGCAAGUCAAUUGAAUUCAACUGAGUUGUUCAAUUCACUUGCCCUGUCAAAACGUAGCAUUAGAUUUUUUCCGGAUGAAAGGCUAACCGGAUUCCAAUGGUGGAAAGAAAGCUGAUUCCCGUUAAUCGGAUACUAGAGCAGAAUCGAUACCGGCAAAGGAAUAAUUUACCUCCAGGCGGUUUACCAAAAGGGGAAAACAUCCGCCUUCAGAACUAACCGGAUAUUGAGAAUAGACAAUCAACAUCAGGUCCACAAAUGGCGGCGAAACAGCCUAUUUGGAACCGGAUGGUUUACCUUCAGACUAUACAGACAUCAGCUAAAUAUACAAGGUUAGAGGAUACAAUAAAGUAAUAGCGGAAUGCAAAUAAAAUAA